rnacentral:rRNA from 1 species
GAUGAACGCUGGCGGCGUGCCUAAUACAUGCAAGUCGAGCGAACGGACGAGGAGCUUGCUUCUCUGACGUUAGCGGCGGACGGGUGAGUAACACGUGGAUAACCUACCUAUAAGACUGGGAUAACUUCGGGAAACCGGAGCUAAUACCGGAUAAUAUAUUGAACCGCAUGGUUCAAAAGUGAAAGACGGUUUUGCUGUCACUUAUAGAUGGAUCCGCGCCGCAUUAGCUAGUUGGUAAGGUAACGGCUUACCAAGGCAACGAUGCGUAGCCGACCUGAGAGGGUGAUCGGCCACACUGGAACUGAGACACGGUCCAGACUCCUACGGGAGGCAGCAGUAGGGAAUCUUCCGCAAUGGGCGAAAGCCUGACGGAGCAACGCCGCGUGAGUGAUGAAGGUCUUCGGAUCGUAAAACUCUGUUAUUAGGGAAGAACAAAUGUGUAAGUAACUAUGCACGUCUUGACGGUACCUAAUCAGAAAGCCACGGCUAACUACGUG